rnacentral:lncRNA from 1 species
UUGUCUUAAAAAAUUGUGUUGAUACAGAUAUUUAGCAACGGGGUUUAUCACAGCAUCGAGCACAAGGUUUCUACGAAUGCAGAGAAGGAAAGAAUCUCCAUUACCUUCUCCAUCAAUCCCAAAUAUGGGGCUGACGUUGGGCCUGCACCUAGUCUGAUAAAUCCAGAUAACCCUCCAUUAUUUAGAAAGGUGGGGGUGGAGCAAUACUUCAAAGAUUACUUUUCUCGUAAGCCCAGUGGAAAAGUAUAUCUGGACCAUAUGAGGAUUCAAAAUGGACAAGACAACUCAGCCUGAUAUUCAAAACUCCUUGCUUACGUACAUAUGUUUACAUGCUGAUACGGUUGUGGUUUGGUAAUAAGAUUUGGCAUUGCAAUUGGAUCUGCAUCUGCUGACAAUUGCAAAACCAAACAUCAUAGAAAUAGCAAUAAAAAAAUCUCAAUUGCGGUGAGUUUGUUCUCAAUCGCAAUUGCAGCUUUGUGUAGUGUGGAUAUAAAUGUAGCUUGUUUGUAUCUAAGAUGAGAGCUUAGCUACCUAUGUAAGGUUUCUAACAUAAAAAUAAGGUGGGUCUCGAUUAUUAAUGUCACGCCUCAGACUCGAGACAUGACAGACGUCGCAUACCUGUAAGGUAUAAUCUUACAGACAUGCAAGCUCUAAAAUAUAUAUCUUAAACCAUUACUAAAAGAGACUGAUAUACCUGAAGAAUUUAGUGAUUUAUAAAUUAUAUCUGUCGAUAGAAUUUCUAAAUAUUAUAAUUCGACAAUAUUCAAAAUUAAAUCUUCAAAAUCACAAAGCUACUAAGUCAAAAUAAAAAUCUGAAUACUAAUUAAGAUAGUUCGAUGUUCAUAAUAUUUAAAUAAAUUCUAGACAAUUUAAGUACUACUAAAUUAAACAUCACUCCCUGAAAUUUUCAUGUGGUUGACCAAAUCACAACCUUAAAAAAAAAAUUGAAAGAAGGAGUGAGUCCAACUACUCAAAUAUUCAAAUAAGUUUUUAUUAUUCUAUUACGUUCAAUCAAGUUUUAUAUUUUUAUUUUCAAUCAAAUAAACUCUUAUGAUUAAUGAUUAAUUAAUUGUAAUUAAUUAAAAUAUUUUUUGUCAUUUUAUACUCAUAUGAUACUGAUAUGAAAUGUGAAAAAUGUUAUAUAAUCAUAUCAUUAUAUUAUGUCAGCAUGUUAUACUAUCAUCCAUUAUAACAUGGCAACUUACAAUGUCAACGUUACGUGACAUAGAAUGACAAGUGAUAUUUUGAUUAAGUUAAUCAUUACUCAUAAAGGUUUAUUUGACCUAAAACAAAAGUAAAAGAACUUAUUUGAUUAAAAAUAAAAAUAUAAGAGAUUGAUUGAGCGCAAUAAAAAAAAUAAAAACUCAUUUGACUUAAAAUAAAAAUAUAAGAGCUUGGUUGAAGGUAAUAAAAAAAUAAAAACUUAUAUGAAAAUUUUUUAAUAGUUUAAAGACUUUUUUAGAUAUUAUGCCUAUUAUCUAUUAUUUUCGAUUUGUCACAGAUUUAAAAAUACAAGGAUCAAAUUGCUAAAUAUUGAAAAAGAUGUACAAAAAUGCAUGUUUUAGCUAGUACAUGAACUUAUCAUAUACUUAUACAAAUCUGAGUCUAGAUUGUUUUGUAUCAUGUAACAAGUGAAGUAGUUGUGGUAUCUUGCAUAUUGCAGGGGUAAAAUGAUAAUUAAAUAUUGCUUUUAUAAAAAGUUCGAUUAACUAAUGGUUAUUGAUAACAUCUUAAGUUAAUUAAAAUAUAAUUUUUACCAAAUUUAGAAGAAAUAAAACAUUAGUUACAAUUUUUUUUUUCAUAAAUAUCACUCUAACUAGUAUCCAUGGACAUCUAUUAACAUUAUCUUUUAAAGAUAGUGAUGAUUACAAUAAAUGUAUAAUGGUAAACUUAGAAAUAAAUAAUGAGUUUCUAGACACAAAUUGUAAAAUUUAUGGGAAAUUUUUUUACUUCAAUCAAAUGAAUAACAAGUUUUUCCUUAAGAAGAUGCCUACAUUAUUUAUUUAAUUAAACUGAAAGUGGAAUAAUUGUUGGAAACAAUAUUUACCAACAUUUGCACCUAUUAUCGAGUUGGUUUCAUCUCCCUCUUUGAAAUUCCAUAUUUCUAGCCCAUUUAUUUGUUCUUAAAGAGGAAAUGAGAGGUUGGUCAAGUUGUUUCGUGUUCACAUUUUUAAUUCAAAUGACAUAAUCAGUAAUAGAAAACAUAUAUUUAUAUAUUUAAAAUUUAUUUUAAUUUUUACUGACAUGAAAUCCGGAACAAAACUCUUUGAAAGAAAACCGGACUAACAAAGACCUUUGCUUGUAUCGUUGUCCAAGCCUAGCCUCCAACCUGGUCCAUUACUAAUCACCAUAUGCCCCUCCUUUGGGUUCAGCCCAUGGUCUACCCCAUUUCCUUUUUCCUGCUAUGCUCUUUCCUUCCAUGCCUUUGGACCAAAUUGUAUUAUGAUCCUCUUUACCUCUUCAGCCACACGUUAUCAACGUUUUGUUUUUGUUUGCAUAGAAAGUCAGUUCACCUACGUCACAAUCUUCAUCUCCUGGUCACUCCCAUGAGUAAGAUGAAGCUUCUACCCUACAGAACCAUGCUUUCAUUGGCUGUUGAACCGGCACUGCCGAUAGUAAGUAAUUGCUUCAAUUCAAGUUUUAAUUGACAAUGAAAGAUGAGAGUAAGACUUUAAAUUUUUCACAAUCUUUCCUUUUCAGCCUACCCUGUCUUAAAACACUGGAUUCUAAUAAGUGGCAAGAUGAACUUGUUUUAUGGAGAUUUUUCGUCAUUGAUGACAACUUCACAUGAAAAAAUAAAUAGCCUUUUGAAUGAGUCGUGGGCACAUACGUACAUCACAAAAAACGUGACAAUUUGCCUCUCAAAUGCUAAACUUAAUUAUAAAUGAGAAGAUAGUUUGUCAAAUCUUAUCAACAACUUUGUGGCUAAUAAAAUGCAUGUGCUUUGGCAAUUUCAGCACGUUUUUUAGCUGUAGCAUAAUAUAGAUAAAUACCUUGACUAACAUGUAAUGGAUUCUUUCAUCAAUUAUAUUUAAAUAGAUAAUAUUAUAAGAAAAUGUUUUAUGUUUAUAUCUCUGUCACUUUCAAUGCAUUCCAUAUGUUUUUUUAUAUGAAUUUAUGUACAAAUCAAAUAAAUAAAUCAACUAAUCUAGUUAUAUAAAAAUUAGAUCACACCCAAAUGACAUAAAGAUUCAAAUUAAUUUAAAAUUUAAAAUAUUCUGAAAUUUCAUUACGAUAUCGUAACGAUACUUCAUCAUCGACAUAAAUGAUUCCACACAUAAUUAGCCUUUCAUUUAAAAUAUUUAAGAGAGACAAUAUUUUAAUGUCCAUUGCUCAUACAUGUCCUUUUUUUAAUGAAAGAUUAAAAUAAACUAAUUAUUCCGAGUUGAAUCCAAUAUCAUAUAAUAGUUGUUAAUGAGGGUUCAUGCAUCAAUCAAGCUAUUAAAGUUAGUGACCAAACUUGUAUUUAACUUAAUUUAUUGGUUCAAAUGCUAUAUUUUAUUUUCUAUAUGAUAUAAGGGAUAAAUUGAGUGCCUCUCAACGUUUCAGCCAACCUGCUAUGAAAUUAUUACUUCCCUGACUUUAUCGGAAUAUACCCUGGAUGACGUUAUCCAAAAUAAUUAUGAUCCACAAGAACCACUCACCAAAAGGAUAAUCCCACUUCUAUUAAAGAUCACAUAUCUUGGAAGGUUUUUCGAAUGAUAUUAAAAAACUUAGGUUACUGUGAUAAUUAGUAUAGGAUGCUUCAAAUUUUUGCUUUAAUAUAUAAUUAUGCAUGUGCGGUAGGUAACGGACCAACUGAAUUAUAUGAAUUUGCUUUGAUGUAGCAUCAAAAUUUUGUCUGAUAUUAGAAUAUGUAAUUAGGGUUUGGUCAACUCAACCCCUUUUUUAGUACAUAGUAUUGAAUUUGCUAGUACGAUCUGCUUGUUACCCAUUUUUCUAAAUCCGAAAUUUCUCUUAUCAUAAAAACAUUUGAAAGCUUUAUUUUUUAGGCCGAUCCCACCUUUUUUUGAGGAAAUUGUGAGAGAAGGGCCUCGUGAUAAGGUGGUUUCAGAAAUAACCACCCAUAUAAAGUUAUUUGUUUCUACCCAAAAAUAAACAUGAGUGGACCAAAAUGCCCUUAAAAACAUCGUUUCAAAUAAAUGCUCAACUAUUUGAGCUAUCUGCCUCCCGCCAGAGAGAAAAUGAAAAAUAUUAAAAAUAAAUGUCCGCAGCUGUUUGGGCUUGGUUAUUUUUCUCUGUCUCAACUCUAGCAAGUCUUUGUUGAGCACUAUCGUUGUCAGCUCUCUCAGAUCUCUGAACUGUAUGAGCUCUGUCAACUCUUUGUUGAGCACCAUCGUCAUCGGGCUGUGGUCUAUCUCUCGGCAUCUGACGACAUUGUCGUAGAUUAACACACCCUAUAGCAGAGAUGACAUCAAGGUACCUGUUAUUGGGUUUAUUUCUGCAACACACUUAAAUUUCUGAAACAUUUGGUGUAAAUAAUAAGAUAGAUUAGAAACAUUACCCAGAGUUGUUACACGCCAUGCAUCUAUAACAUGAGUGAAGAGUUAUUUUAGCGUGUCAUGGCUGUUACUGGCGUGUUGUGGGUUAACUAGUUAUUUGAGUUGUUAGCGUGUCACGACUGUUCCUGGGGUGUGGUGGGUUAACUGAAUUUAUGGGUUUUUGGUGUGUCAUGGCUGUUCCUGGUGUGUCGUGGGUUAACUGGUUUUUUAGGUUUUUAGCGUGUCACGGAUGUUGGUGUAACCAGUCAGUAAUUAUAGUGAUUGACGUGUCACAACAGUGAUGCAUGGCGUGUAACGAUACUGAUGCAUGGAGUGUCACGACAGUGAUGCAUGGCGUGUCAUGACAGUGAUGCAUGGCGUGUAACGAUACUGAUGCAUGGCGUGUCACGACAUUUGACUUGAUAUGCAUGGAGUGUUACAAUAUUUUACAUUAUUUGCAUGGCGUGUAACAACACGACUGACAAAUUUUUUAUCACGGCAUGUAUUGUGUAAAAUGAUUGACAAUUUUUUUUUCAAAAUUUUAGUGGGGUUCCAAUUGUACGACUUGUGAUAAGACACGGUGGUCAGUGGGUGGAUGGCAUUUACAAGGGUGGUAAGUCACGAAUGCGGGGGGUUAGGAGUGAUUUGUCGUUUGUGGGCUUGAUGAAGCUGAUUGAAGAUGUUGUUGGGGUAAACUCAAAAAUUGACGAGAUUGAGUUACAUGCAUUGAUCAGUACACCCGGAGAGCUAUCACGGCCAAUUAUCAAGGACGAUGAGGAUGUUGCAUUAAUUUUGCUCGAACAGAGGAAUGUUUUGGCUGUGUAUGUCAGCAUUAAGGGACGCCAAACAAAUGUUAUGUCACAUGGAGAAGUUGGACAACAUGGUAAUCAGCUCAAUCAAAAUGAGAUUUACAAUGUUUCACAUAUACCAUAACAUUCGGUCCGUAACCCACAACAAUGGCAAUGGAGGUAUGCACAAGAGUUUGUGCAGCCCAGUAGACAGACGACAUUCACAGAACAGUUGGCUGCACAAUUUCGAUCAGGAUGUGCAUCAAACCAAUUUCUUGCUUCUCUUGAACAAAUGCAACGAUUGGGUGAAACUGUAGAGUGUGUAAUGUUAUUGUCAAAUGAGAAUACGAUAAUUGAGGACAACUAUGUGAGGUUGGAGGGUGACACUGCGACGCUGGAGUAUAAUACUGCAUUUGAUGAAGGAAAUGAGGAUUUGUUCGCUACCGGUGAAGAUAGAUUUAAUCACACUUCAGAUGAUGGGCUUGAACAAUCGCAAGAUGACAGUUCAGAUGAUGACUGCCUUUAUGACAGUGACAUUCCAAUUUGCAAUAAUGUUGAAGGCGAAACGGAACCUGUUGGAGGUGUUGAUGUAGGAGAUGUUCAGUGUGAUGACCCCAUAUACAAUAACCCUAUCGCUGGUGAGAACGGGAUUCUUUCCUUUGAUACAUUGCUCGAUGACAAUGAUCAGAAAAGGGAAAAUGCAAGGAUAUCUCAUACGUGGGUAAUUGCAGGUGCAGAAAAGUUCUCCUUCCAAACAAUUACCACUAAGGAGUCGACAUGUGCCGAAGAUCGCUUAUACAAAGGAAGAAUAUUUUCGUCGAAGGUCGAGUUGAAACGAGCUUUGAACAUGUUGGUUAUAAAAGAGAAGUUUGCGAUAAGAGUAAAAAGGUCAUGUAAAACUCGUUAUGAGGUUGGUUGCAAGGACAAGGCAUGCAAGUUCAGUGUUCGUGCAACGAAGUUACCUGAUAGAGGAGAAUAUUGGAAAGUUCAGACAUUCCACAAAGUACACACCUGUACCGUUGAUGGUUUGCAAGGGCGGUUUCUAACUACGAGUGUGAAGAUGAUUGGUGAACUUAUGUCAUACAAGAUUCGGGCUAAUGGAGUAGCAUUGAGACCUAAGGACAUAAUUUGUGAGAUGAGGGUUCAAUGGGGAUUGGAAUGCUUGUAUGGUAAGGCUUGGUAAGCGAAGGAGUAUGCGAAGAGGCUUGUUUUUGGUCCACCGGAGGAGUCAUUUCAACUACUACCAUCGUAUUUUUGUAUGUUAGAACAAGAAAAUCCUAGCACAGUGACUGCAGUGGCUACUGAUGAGGAAGAGAGAUUCAAAUAUUGUUUCUGGUCAUACGGGGCUUGUAUUCGAGGGUUUUGGGAUGUAAUGCGUCUUACGGUUACAAUUGAUGUGACACAUCUGAAAGACAGGUUCAAUGGUGUUCUGUUUGUCACUGUAUGCAAAGAUAUGAACUAGUGUGUAUAUCCAGUUGCGUUUGGCAUCGGCCAUGUUGAGGACAAAGACUCGUGGAUGUGGUUUUUUAGCAAGUUGAGUGAUGUGGUUGGUUGUCCUGAAAACAUUAUGUUCAUUUCUGAUCAGCAUCUUGGCAUUAAGAAAGCAAUCCAAAAUGCAUACCCAGAAGCGCACCAUGGUUUAUGCGGUUACCACUUGAAAAAAAAGUUUAAAAACAAGUUCAAGCGCGACGAUGUUUGUAUGCUUUUCACCCUUGGUCGAGAUUGCUACAAGGUGGCUGAUUUCAAUAGACAUAUGAACCAGAUACAGCAGAUUCACCUGGGAGCCCACACGGACCUUAUGAGAAUAAGGCUUGAGAAAUGGACACGUGCAUGUUCACCGACAAGGCGAUACUAAAUGAUGACAUCCAACAUUGCGGAAUGUGUUAACUCAUGCUUGAAGCAUGCAAGACAAAUGCUGAUCACUGUUUUGAUCGAGUUCAUCAGAGACAUGUUCCAACAUUGGUUCCAUGAACGGUACGAGAAAGCCGUCAAGGUGACCACGCCCCUCAGCCCUUGGGUUGCCAGGCAGUUGAGUAAAAGGUUCAAUGAUGCACAUCGCUUUCUAGUUAAGCCUAUCAAUCGAGUGGAGUUCGAAGUUAAAAACGGGAAGAUGGAUGGACUUGUAAACCUGUCCAGGAAGACGUGUUCAUGUUGUGAGUUCCAAACAGAUUUACUACCAUGCAGCCAUGCCAUUACAACAAUAAGGUCAGAAUAUCUUUAUUUCUUAUUUGAACCGUAAUUGACAUAGCAUUUACAUUGUGCUUGAAGAUUGAGUUUUUAGUGUUUUUCAGUAAAUGCAAUCGUGAAGCUAUUGAAUUCUGCGGUGACUACUACAAGACAACCAUUUUCAUGGAGGUUAUUCAGGAUCCAUUAGGCCGGUAGGGCAUCCUAGUGAGUGGGACAUCUCCCCUCAUGUGAAACAAAUUAUCGUCUUGCCCCCACCUUGGCUAGGCCAAGCAGGAAGACCUAGAAGGAGAAGGAUUUCAUCAGCUGGUGAAGGCAGUCGAGCACGAAAAUGUUCGCAAUGCAAGAGGUACGGGCAUAACAGACAUAACUGCCCAUACCCAUUUUCAGUUCCAUCCACAAAUCUGGCACCAUCUCCAAGUCAAUCGGUGACUCCAAGACUGCGCCGACCUAAAGCAUGUUCAAGUUGUAGACAAACCGUCACACAAGCAAUAACUGUCCAAUACGAAGGACAAUGUUUGAAAAUGUAAGGUGUGUUGUGAAUGAAGACAACUUGACCGCCUAACUAAAUGUGUCUGAAAAUUGUAGUUGAAUUCGUUUUGCUUUACAGAUUUGUUUGCUUGGUCAUUCUAUUAGGAAUUUUUAGUUACGGACUUUGUUGCCAAACAUUUCAGGCAAAUAAGCAUGUCAAUGCCUCUGUCUGAUCAAGAUCGUGUUAAAGUACAUUCUUACAUUGUUUGUAAAAAUGUUUCCGAUUACAAUCUCCAUCAGACAGGAGCCAUGUAUUUGCUUAUCUGCUUGAAAUGUUUGGCAACAAAGUUCGUAACUAAAAGGGCCUCAUAGAAUAAUCGAGCAGAUAAAAUGUCAAGAUCCUCAUACUAUAUGCGUUGGAUCUGCAAAACAUGGCACAGAUGCACCAGUGAGUUAAGCCAUAAUGUGCAACAAGAUAUUCAGAAGAAAUAAAUAAGGAAUAAAUGUGAGACACGCCAUGCAUAAAAAGUAAAAUGUUGUGACAUGCCGUGCAUAUCAAAUAAAAUAUUGUAACACGCCAUUCAUAACAAGAAAAAUGAAAUGACACGUCAUGCAUAACAAGUAAAAUGUUGUGACACGCCAUGCAUAACAAGAUAAACUUGGUGACACGCCAAGGAUAACAAGCACAAUGUUCUGACACACCAUGCAUAACAAGUAAAAGGUUGUGACACGCCAUGCAUAACAAGUUAAACGUUGUGACACACCAUGCAUAACAAUUAAAUUGUUCUGACUCGUCAUGCAUAACAAGUUCUGGUGUGUAAAUUUAGACGUACGAUUUUAUAAUGGCAGGAUCGAAUUUUGGCCUGGAAAUAAUUGAAAAAAUAAGGGAGGAUGGAUACAGAACAAUUUCAUGCUGGAAGCAAUUAGAUGGAUGAAAAAAUCUAUAUAUUCAAUGUUAAUUAAUGUAAUGUUGGGUUGGUGCAACCGGUGUGCCUGGAAGAGAAACACGACGAACUUGGAAAUUAAUUAAUGCCAACCUGGGGUGACACACGACGGCCCAAUUCUUAUGACACACUGACUAGAAGCAGAUUAAUGGCGUCACAUACUGAGUAUUUGGCGAUUUAUGGCGUGACAUGCCACGGCCCAAUUGUUCCGACACGUUGAGUGGAAGCAGAUUACUCGGCUGACACGCCGAGUGUUAGUGGAUUUACGGCGUCACACGUUGACUUAUUGCAGAAUUUUAGGGUGACACGCUGAGUGCAAGCAGAUGUAUGUUAAGACACGUUGGCUGGUAUCGUGUUUAAAGCGUCACACGCUAACUUCUUCCGACUGUGUAUCAAAUUAAAUAUAUUGUAUAUAGAAAAGGAAAAAAAUUCUUGGUAUCAAAUUAAUUGUGUAUAGGUAAAAAAAUUAAUUGUGUAUCAAAUAAUUGUACAAAGUAUAUUGUGUAUACAGAAAGAAUUAUAUCUGUUUACAAUGAAUUGUAUACAAAAAAUAUGUAUAAAAUGAAUUGUAUAAAAAAAUUUAUGUGUACCAAAAAAAUUGUACAAACAAGGGCCUAUAUGUUCAAGGUUCGCUCUCACAACUGUUGGAAAAAAUUUUCAGAGCAUAUUGUCGACGCAUUUUUGCAAUCAUAUUCUGCUUAAUUCCGAUCUUUUCUGAUUGUAAAAUAUGCUCAAUGUACCCUAUCAUGAACAUACCGCAGCUGACACUAUCAUUCUGCCGAUGCACUUUAGCUUUUGGUAAAUGAAUAUCCAAAUCCUGUCUCUUCUGACGUAUGUUAUUGAAAUAACCGGCUUGGUGGCAGAUGAAUGGCAUCAUUGUCGUCAAGGGUGUCAUCUGACCCGCACGAACUCCGUUAUCCUUAGCAUCCGAAGUUCUUGUUGAGUCCACGACCUUGAUCGUCCACCUCAUCAAGUCGAUUUUUUCCAACCACCCAAUGCCCACCAACGUUGCAAGGCGCGAGGAUGAAAUCAGCAUCUUCCCAUUUUUUGGCAUACGUUGGCCUUUCACCUUCCACAUAGCCCCGCAACUCAUCUGGAAUUUGCAUUUUGGCUCGGGCAUCUUCUGUUGGAAAUUCAGUGUGUAGCAUACGGAUGGUGUCCUGUGAAACAUGUAAACAUUAGCUUACACUUCAUGCAAUAAAAAACUUAGUAUUUAUAGAAUUGAACAAUUUUCAAAUAAACUUACGAAGAAUAUCGUGUCAACCAUGCAUGCACAGGUAGUGUACAGCUUCGACUUUGGCCCUGUCAUUCGCUUGCAAAGUAGGCUGAGGCAUGCGUCGAUAUGUUCACUUGUCAUUUCCUCAUUGGGAUCCUCUAAGGUUAUGAAAAAGUCAGCCCCUUGAUCCCCUAAGAUGCCAACGUUACGCUUGCAUAUGUAACAUAAUUAAUUUCAUAAGUCUUGGUGGAUAACUGUUUCAUUAAAAAAUAAUAUUUGUAAUUUUAUUUAUAAGCUUACCUCUCAAACUCCUUUUUCUUGAAAGCUUCGUAGUCUUCUACGAUUUUAUCCCUCACAUCUCAACGGGUCACUAAGGGGUCGACGAAUGGGUUUGCCAUAUAUUUGCUUGCCAUUUUCAACUGUGCCCGCUCAGUUAGGUUUGAAAUUUCUGCUGCACCAUGAUGGACAGCAGAUGACUCUGGUGACGAUGAUUGUAUCUCAACAGUUGCUAAACCUAAACCAUCAAAAUACAAGCAAAGAUAGAAUAUCGUACUUGUGAUUUAAGGCCGUCAAGAAUCCGACCAACGAUACGGUCCUUAAUCGUCUGCUUUGCUACAUUCAAUGACUGAAUUGAAGCCUUCAGCUCCAACAUAUCUUUUUCAUGCUUGCGCAUGAUUCGUCGGAGCUGACGGGUUAUGACUGCUCCGUCAUUGACUGUUCUCGACUGGGUCAACUACAAUAACAUAUAUAAUUGUGUUAUUCAAUAAUCAUAUAUGGAAUUGUUGAACAUUAACCGUUACAACUUUAAUAUCCUAACUGGUGGCUCGUUAGCAGUCUGUGGUGGAGCCGGAUCGAUUGAUGCUUUAGGACCUGUCGUCGCUUUCGCAUACUGUAAUUACAUAUUUAACUGUGUUAUUCAAUAAUCAUGUAUGAAAUUAUUGAACAUUAACUGUUACAACUUUAAUAUCUUUACCGCCGGCUCGUUAGCAGUCUACGAUGGAGCCGGAUAGAUCGGUGCUUCAUGACCUGUCGUCGCUUCCACAAACUGCAAUUACAUAUAUAACUGUGUUAUUCAAUAAUCAUGUUUGGAAUUGUUGAACACUAACCGUUACAACUUUAAUAUCCUUACCGCCGACUCGUUAGUUGUCUGCGGUUGGGCUGGACCGAUCGGUGCUUGAGGACCUGUCCUCGCUUUCGUAAACUGCAAUUACAUAAAUUACUAUGUUACUCGAUAAACAUAUGUGGGAAUGUAGAACACAAACCGUUAGAACCGAUCUUACAGACGGGUCAUUACCACUCUGCAUUUGAGGAGGACUGGUGGGUGGUUCUGGAACUGUCGGCCCAUGGUCCAACUGCAAACACAGAAAUGUUAUUCGAUAAUCAUAAAUGGAAUUGGAGAACACAAAAUUGUUACAAUUGUCCUUACCGGCUAUUCAUUGCCUUGACCAUGGUCAUCCAUUUCAUCCAUCAACUCAUCAACUAAAGCAGCGGCGAUGCGCAUCCUCUUCAUGCCACCAGAGGCUUUUUUCUCCUUCAAGCUUCUCCUUUUUUGCGUCGCACCUAAGCCCCAAUCCGAUCGAUCCUUCAUGUGCCCUAUUGGCACGUACUUGUUGCCCUCCGAUAACGGGACAUCAAGGUCCACAAAAUACUCUCGGAGGGCCUCAUCUGCGGUGGGUUCCAACGUCUUCAGUGCCCACAACUGCAAAUAAACAAAUAAAAUGUUGUCAUUAUUGAAUAGGGAAAAUUAUUUUACAAAUAUACGUAAAAAUUAACAGUUGUUCACUUACUUGGUCAGAUGACUCUAACUUCUAAAUUGUCUUGUAGAAGUUUUUUGGCUUCUGAUUGCAAUCCCAUCUGCACAUUCGUGGGUGGACGUUGUCCUUCAGACCAGAGGGGGCAACUAUUUUUCGAAGGGUCGAAAUUGCCUUCAUUGCCCAGAACUGCAUGUCAAAUGUAACCAUUAUUAGACCGUCAAUCAUAAACGACUGCACCCAUAAAUUUUUUGUUCGAAAGAAAGCUGAAAAAUUUUACGUUUUAGUACCUGUAUCACCCAUGCGAAUCCAUAAAUGUUGUAGCGUAACCGAGUUUCCUUUGUCACGCUCAAGUCAGGAACUUCGAACCCCUUCAAAAGGUAGUCCAAGGUCAGCUUCCAAACAUAGUGCCCCCAUGGAAAGACAUUCCAAGCGUCGAUGUCCUCCACCAAUGACAGCAACUAAGGCGUCACCCAUCUACGGUAGUCUUGACCAAAUAAAAUGUAUUCGCGAUCAAGACGAGUACCAUCUUGGUUGCGUCUCCUGGUAGCUGAAAGUUACCCCCGCGGAAGGUAUCAAGCAAAGCCUGCAGCUUAACGUUGUCCUGCCCGUUCCAGUAUCUUGCAUGAAUUCCAUCCGCAGCAACCUCGUACGGUCGUCUGAACACAUCGGGCAUUGGACCAAACUUCAGCCCGGUGAUGAAGCAGAACUCCUGCUUUGAUAGGCACGCCUUGCUUUUGCAAAUGGCAAAUCAUAGCUCAUGGUCCAUUGAUUGCCUCUCAGUGAUCCGACGAAUCCUGAUGCUGUGCAAGAAAUCGACGCAAAAGUACCCAUGUGGAUAGAUGUCCAGGAGCAUUCCGAAGCAAGUACGCUUAAUUGGAUUGUACUCCCCCUUCUGUUGGAGAGUUUUUGUGAUGUAAUGCAGUUGCGACCACUUACAAUGAGUGUUAAUUACGACAUUGAAAGCCCACUUCUCCUUCGACACGAUCAGCAAACUGUCAAGAUCCUCAUACUGUCUACGCUAGAUCUGCAAAAUAUGGCACACAUACACCAGUAAGUUAAGCAGUCAUGUGCAACAAGGUACACUGAAGACACAAAUAAGGAAUAAAUAUUGUGACAUGCCAUGCAUUGCAAUCAAAAUAUUGUGACACGCCAUGCAUAAUAAGUAAAAUGUUGUGACACGUCAUGCAAAACAAGUUAAACGUUGUGACACACCAUGCAUAUCAAGUUAAACGUUAUGACACGCCAUGCAUAUCAAGUAAAAUGCUGUCAAACGCCAUGCAUAACAAGUAAAAUGCUGUGACACGACAUGCAUAUCAAGUAAAAUGCUGUCACACGCCAUGCAUAUCAAGUAAAAUGCUGUCACACGCUAUGCAUAUCAAGUAAAAUGCUGUCACACGCUAAUAACUAAUUAUAAUAACAAUGGCGUCACACGAUAAACACCCAAAACCGCUAAAACCACUGCGACUUAACCACAACAACCAUCAAACCAACAAGAAAACACAGUCUAAACAUUUGCAAAACAAAACAAAAAAACCCGAACAUAUCAAACAAACCCAGGAAAAAACCAAAAAAUUAACAAACACAAUAAUGUUGCGAAUUUGAGACUCACUAACCUCUUCAUUCAUGGCCGACAUUUUUACUGGUGCUGUGGUUUCGUUCCGCUUGCAAAAAGCCUUCUCAAACACUCCGGUACCGACGGGAAUGAGAAAUGAAUUACACAGACGUUACGAAUUCUGAAUAAUAACUGUUUAAAAUGAAAAAUGGCAUUAUAAUAUUCUUAUUUAUUCUGAAAAAGGGAAAUUAAUACAGUGGAAGUCCAAAAGAUUAUCACGUUAACUGCCCGCUUUUUUUUCUCUCUUUAUUUCAAACCAUGACGUGUUAGCUGCUCAAGCACUACCGUGUCACGCACUCUAAACCAUGACCAUGGCAUGUCAGCUUUUCAAGCAAUGCCGUGUCACACACUCUAAACAUGACCAUGGCAUGUCACCAACUCUGAACUCUGGCAUGUCACAGAUUUCCUCCAUGGCGUGUCACCAACUCUUAACUCUGGCGUCUCACAGAUUCAAUCCAUGGCAUCUCACUAACCCUGAAAGCUGGCAUGUCACAGAUUCCCUCCAUGCUAUGUCACCAACUCUUAAUCUGACGUGUCAUAGAUUCCCUCCAUGGCGUUUCACCAACUCUAAACGCUGCCGUGUCACACAUUCCCAUCAUGGCGUGUCACAAACUCUUAACUCUGGUGUCUCACAGAUUCCCUCCAUGGCGUCUCACCAACUCUGAGCGGUGCCGUGUCAUACAUUCCCAACAUGACGUUUCACAAACUCUAAACCCUGCCCUGCGACAGCCAUCUAACAUAUGGCCUGCUAUAACAGGACCAUUUCCUGCUUUAGAUUCACAUCUUUCUCCUUUCAAUUCACCACCGUAUCAAGGAUUUCUUGUUUCACAUCAUUAGCCAAGCUUUCCAUUCAUGACGACCUGUUCCUCGUUCGAUUUAAUAUCUCUCUUCUCCUAUUAUCUGAAUGUCAUGUUCCAAAUCUAUGAAAACCUAUCUCAUGCAACAUUAUUUUGUUUUGCACAACCUUCGAAAAAAAAAUUUGGGUAUUUUGCACAACUAAUCUUUGCAUAUUUAUUUUUUUUUCCAUUUUUCGCCUGUUUGAGAGUAUACGCUAACGAAUACAGCUCAUUAAGGGUAUUUUUAUCUCAAAAUCUUUUCUGAUGACUAAAAAUAAUUAAAAGUAUCUUGUUAGUUAUUUACAAAAACACGUUAUUUAUAAGGGCUUAAAAAAAAAUCCCCAUUUUUUUUCCCUUAUAAAUACUGUCCAAUUAGGCUAUGUGUAGAGGCACUUUCAGCAUUUAGCAAUAUGGCAUUAUCAAACCCAAAAGAUUUUAGCAGCUCUCCUUUAAUGGUUAGUGUUCAAGAGCUCGUCAAAGGGCCAAUAAUCACUAUCCCACAACAAUAUGUUCGUUUAGUUCAAGAACCCCUUUCCCUCUCUUUCACUGCUCCUUCGCCACCAAUCCCAACCAUUGACAUGGCUCGUUUGGUUUCUGGAGAUGAUGACAAUGACCUUGAACUCGAGAAAUUGCACUCAACUUGCAAAGACUGGGGUAUCUUCCAGGUUCUUCUCAAUUCUGCUUUAGCAACUUAGCUAAUCAAAUGUAAACAUGCAUGAAAAAGAGGAAAAGCUAAUUGAUUCCAUCCAAACUCCAUUUAAGAGUUAGGAUCUUUGAUUUUUUCUUUUGAAUUUUUUGACCAGGUGCAUAAUUAAGUUUCCUUUUCAUGUUUACCAUAUGAAGUUCGUUUAUACUAAAUACAUAUAAAAGGAUUAAUUUUCGAUAUAAUCAUAUGGAAAAAUAUGUUAAUUAGAACGUACAUAUACGGGUAAUAGAGCUACAAGUAAUUUAUUUUAGAAGAAAAAAAUUAAAAAAAAUAGUACAAAAGAGUAUGUGAAGAAAAAUAUAUUCAGAGCUAAUGGUUUUGCAGUUGGUGAACCAUGGAGUUAGCUCUUCACUGUUGGACAAACUGAAACAUGAGGUGGAAGAAUUUUAUAGGCUUCCCUUGGAAGAAAAAAUGAAAUACAAGAUCAGGGCAGGAGAUUGGGAAGGGUAUGGAUGCAGGAGCAGAGAAGGGGGAAAACUGGACUGGGUUGACAGUUUGAAUAUAAUUACUAACCCUGUCCAUAGACGCAGGCCUCAUCUCUUCCCAGAGCUCCCUUCAUCCCUAAGGUAAUUCUCUCUGUCUGUCUCUCUUUAUUGAAUCUGAUAAAAAAAAAAAAAGCCUCUUUUAAUAUGAUAGAUUUUAUACUCUCUUCACAUAAAUUGACCUUUUAAUAUAUAAUCUCGUGCAGAAACACCUUGGAGUCUUACUUAUCGGAACUCCAAAAGAUUGCCGCAAAACUUCUUGGUUCAAUGGCAAAAGCUUUGGGAAUUGAUGUAGAGGAGAUGAUGGAGUUUUUUGAUGAUGGGAUACAAGCAGUUAGAUUGGCAUAUUAUCCACCCUGUCCAAAACCAGAGCUGGUGAUGGGCCUUUUUCCUCACUCAGAUAUAACCCUUAUCAACAUCUUGCACCAAGUUAAUGGAGUGGAUGGCCUUCAGAUUAAGAAAGAUGGACUUUGGUUUCCUCUCAGCAUCAACCCUGAUGCCUUUAUAGUGAAUGUAGGAGACAUUUUGCAGGUUUGUCUCUCUUCUAUAAAUUCUAAUAUAUAUAUAUAUAAGUGGAUUAAAUAAUAAGAAUCCCUAGCUAUUAGUGUCAUUUUUGUACCAUUUUUUUCUUUUAUCUUAAUUGUCUUAAAAAAUUGUGUUGAUACAGAUAUUUAGCAACGGGGUUUAUCACAGCAUUGAGCACAAGGUUUCUACGAAUGCAGAGAAGGAAAGAAUCUCCAUUACCUUCUCCAUCAAUCCCAAAAAUGGGGCUGACGUUGGGCCUGCACCUAGUCUGAUAAAUCCAGAUAACCCUCCAUUAUUUAGAAAGGUGGGGGUGGAGCAAUACUUCAAAGAUUACUCUUCUCGUAAGCCCAGUGGAAAAGCAUAUCUGGACCAUAUGAGGAUUCAAAAUGGACAAGACAACUCAGCUUGAUAUU